rfam:Sphingobacterium sp. ML3W, complete genome.
AAGAGCCGUAUGAGUCGAGAGGCUCACAUACGGUUCUGUGAGAGAUUUAGGGGUGAGACUCCCCUUUAUCUACUCGAC